CUACCGUUGCCUCAGGAGCUUCAACCAGGAGAGCCAUGCAGUCUUUUCCCUCGGCCUUGUUCACGAUGGCGGAGUCAUCUGCGGUGGCCUGGGAAACAACCAGAUCUCAGUGUGGAGACACUCGGAUGCCACUCACCUUCUCACGUUGAGAAGCAAGCUUCACGCCGGUGCUGUCAAGUCGCUGCUUGUGGCUGGCGACAAGCUCUUCAGCGCUCACCAGGACAAGAAGAUCCGGGUGUGGCGGCUUUCCAAAUCCAACCACACGCAGCACACUCUCGUCGCAACGCUUCCAACUCUCAAGGACCUGGUAGCAGAAUCAACGUCGUCAAGGUUCCCGAGCAAAAAGAACAAGGCCGCAAGAUCAGUCCAACAUACCGACGUAGUGUCCGCGCUAGCACUCGGCGACGGCGUCGUGUACUCGGCCUCCUGGGACAAGACUGUCAAGGUUUGGAGGCUGUCCGAUCUCAAAUGCAUCGAGUCGUUCGUGGCUCACGACGAUGCAGUCAAAGCUCUGGUGGCGAAAGCGGGAUUUCUCUACACAGCCUCUGUAGACUCAAAGAUCAAGAUCUGGAAAAGAGAAGCGAGCGACAAGAAAAGUAGUAAAACUUACCACAGGCACUUGCUGGCCAGAGUUCUUGAGCGUCCAGGCAAUUGCUCCAGCGCAGUGAAUGCAUUGGCACUGGGUGGCGAUGGAGGAGAUGACAAGGUUC
rnacentral:lncRNA from 1 species